CCUACGGAGGCCCAGAGAGUGGGUUCUACGGAGCGCGAGAAGGGCCAAGCGCGCGUCUGCGUGGUGUUAGCUCCCUGGUUCCUUGUCUUCCUCGUUAAGUCAGUACCUUGUAAUUUCCUGUCGAACCCAUUAACUGGGCCUUCCUGCACGGCCCGCUUUCGCAUCACUUCUCAGUUACUCUAGACGUCUGCGAGUGUGUCGUUUUGUGCGUGUUUUGUUGUGAAACGAAAGCCGGCACGUCUUCACUGCUAAAUUGUUCCCGAAAUUCGUAAACCCGCGCAGAUCGGGAUUCAGUAGGUGCAUUUUAUUAGGUGCAUUUAAAACGCCUACGACGCGCCAGACACAGGAACUGGGUUCGGGAUAUAGUAAAGAGAGAACGUAGUCUUUGAGAAAUCCGGCAUGAAUUUUGCCAUACAGACCUGGAAGAGUUAGGAGUGGAAUCUGAGAUCCCUGAAACUGACUUUUACUGAAAGCAACAUUUUGAAUUUUGCAUUGAUUGGUCAUUCUCCUGUCCCCAUUUCAAAACGCAAACAUAUGAAAUACGGCCGCAUAUAGUCAGUA